CAGCAGCCGCGGUAAUACGAGGGGGGCAAGCGUUGUUCGGAAUUAUUGGGCGUAAAGGGUGCGUAGGCGGCUUGACAAGUCUUGUGUGAAAUCUAUGGGCUCAACCCAUAGUCUGCACGGGAAACUGUCGGGCUUGAGAAUGGGAGAGGUGAGUGGAAUUUCCGGUGUAGCGGUGAAAUGCGUAGAUAUCGGAAGGAACACCUGUGGCGAAAGCGGCUCACUGGACCAUUUCUGACGCUGAUGCACGAAAGCUAGGGGAGCAAAAAGGAUUAGAUACCCCAGUAGUCCCUGUCUCUUAUAC
rnacentral:rRNA from 1 species